rnacentral:rRNA from 1 species
UACGGAGGGUGCGAGCGUUGUCCGGAAUCAUUGGGCGUAAAGGGGCGCGUAGGUGGCGGGACAAGCGUGCGGUGAAAGCUUGGGGCUCAACCCCGGGUCGGCCGUGCGAACUGUUUUGCUUGAGCACUGUAGAGGCAGGCGGAAUUCCGGGGUGUAGCGGUGAAAAUGCGCAGAUAUCAGGAGGAACACCCCGUGGCGAAAAGCGGCUCUCUGGGGACGGUACUGACGCUGAGACGCGAAAACGUGGGGGAGCAAAACAGGG